UGAGUAACACGUAUCCAACCUGCCGACAACACUGGGAUAGCCUUUCGAAAGAAAGAUUAAUACCGGAUGGCAUAAUUAUUCCGCAUGGGAUAAUUAUUAAAGAAUUUCGGUUGUCGAUGGGGAUGCGUUCCAUUAGGCAGUUGGCGGGGUAACGGCCCACCAAACCUACAAUGGAUAGGGGUUCUGAGAGGAAGGUCCCCCACAUUGGAACUGAGACACGGUCCAAACUCCUACGGGAGGCAGCAGUGAGGAAUAUUGGUCAAUGGACGAGAGUCUGAACCAGCCAAGUAGCGUGAAGGAUGACUGCCCUAUGGGUUGUAAACUUCUUUUAUACGGGAAUAAAGUGAGCCACGUGUGGCUUUUUGUAUGUACCGUAUGAAUAAGGAUCGGCUAACUCCGUGCCAGCAGCCGCGGUAAUACGGAGGAUCCGAGCGUUAUCCGGAUUUAUUGGGUUUAAAGGGAGCGUAGGCGGGUUGUUAAGUCAGUUGUGAAAGUUUGCGGCUCAACCGUAAAAUUGCAGUUGAUACUGGCGACCUUGAGUGCAACAGAGGUAGGCGGAAUUCGUGGUGUAGCGGUGAAAUGCUUAGAUAUCACGAAGAACUCCGAUUGCGAAGGCAGCUUACUGGA
rnacentral:rRNA from 1 species